AUUGUGUAACUUUCCAUGUGAAUUGAUUGGUAAAACAUUUACGUUGGAGGAUCAGCUUGAUAGAUUUGAUAUAGUUUCAAAUUUGAGUCUUACAUUUAGUGAAUUUAAUAGCUCACAGGCUUCCACGCCAUUUCUAGGAUUCACUCUUGAUCUUACAUGUAUACAGAUUGACGGAUCUCACCUUUUGUUAAAAUGGGCUACACCAGAAGGAGAUUUCUACAAUUGUUUGACAGUGAAGAUUGUAACCCCUGAUGUGUACACAUUUGUCUUUAGAGAUUUUGAAGAAGAUGACGAUUUUUGCAAAGCUUGUUACGAGGCUAAUGAUAAAAACGCCAAUUUUGGCGCAGCUAGAG